AACGCGAAGAACCUUACCAGGGCUUGACAUCCCGCUGACCGCUCCAGAGAUGGAGCUUCCCUUCGGGGCAGCGGUGACAGGUGGUGCAUGGUUGUCGUCAGCUCGUGUCGUGAGAUGUUGGGUUCAGUCCCGCAACGAGCGCAACCCUUAUCGCUAGUCGCCAGCAUUCAGUUGGGCACUCUAGCGAGACAGCCGGUGAAAGCUGGAGGAAGGUGGGGAUGACGUCAAAUCAUCAUGCCCCUUAUGUCCUGGGCUACACACGUGCUACAAUGGCCGGUACAAUGGGUCGCCAACCCGCGAGGGGGUGCUAAUCCCACAAAACCGGUCUCAGUUCGGAUCGCAGGCUGCAACUCGCC
rnacentral:rRNA from 1 species